UACGGAGGGUGCAAGCGUUAUCCGGAUUCACUGGGUUUAAAGGGUGCGUAGGCGGGCUGUUAAGUCAGUGGUGAAAUCUUCAAGCUUAACUUGGAACUGCCGUUGAUACUAUCAGUCUUGAAUAACGUUGAGGUGAGCGGAAUAUGUCAUGUAGCGGUGAAAUGCUUAGAUAUGACAUAGAACACCGAUUGCGAAGGCAGCUCACUAAACGCUCAUUGACGCUGAGGCACGAAAGCGUGGGGAUCAAACAGGA
rnacentral:rRNA from 1 species